AUUGAACGCUGGCGGCAUGCUUUACACAUGCAAGUCGAACGGUAACAGGCCUUCGGGUGCUGACGAGUGGCGAACGGGUGAGUAAUGCAUCGGAACGUACCCAGAGGUGGGGGAUAACGCAGCGAAAGCUGUGCUAAUACCGCAGGUGAUCUGAGGAUGAAAGCGGGGGACCGAGCAGCAAUGUUUGGCCUCGCGCCUUUGGAGCGGCCGAUGUCGGAUUAGCUAGUUGGUGGGGUAAAGGCCUACCAAGGCGACGAUCCGUAGCUGGUCUGAGAGGACGACCAGCCACACUGGGACUGAGACACGGCCCAGACUCCUACGGGAGGCAGCAGUGGGGAAUUUUGGACAGUGGGCGCAAGCCUGAUCCAGCAAUGCCGCGUGCGGGAAGAAGGCCUUCGGGUUGUAAACCGCUUUUGGCAGGAACGAAACGGUGUCCGCUAAUACCGGGCGCUAAUGACGGUACCUGCAGAAUAAGCACCGGCUAACUACGUG
rnacentral:rRNA from 1 species